UCAAAAUCCCAACGUUCAUCUUCUCUCGCCUUCUCUUUGCUUUCAUCGAUCUCGAUCUCUUCUCCUUCAUCGAUCCUGUUUUCCUCCUGUUCGCUAGGUUUCAAGAGCUGAUUGGAGGGUUUGCGAGGUUGUUUCAUCAAUGGGUUUCCCGAUCGUGGAGGUACUACCGGAGCCGAGGUUGGAUUGCAGCUGCUUGCGUGGUGAUGUCUUGAUUGAUCGAUCUUAGGAUCCGGAUGGCAGCGCACGGCUUAUCUCAUCAAUGAGCCGAAUUUGGUGUGACGCCAGUGCACUGCAUGUCUAGUACAGGCUUGGACAGUUCAUCUCAUCUUGAUUGUUUUCAUUACUAUUAAUUACUAUUUUGCACGCUCUAAUCGUAUUUACUUUGCUAACUGUUAUUAACUCUGAUUUCCAUCCAAAGCUCUUUAAAGUCAGAUAUUCUUGGGCCUAACUGAGUUAACCACUGCACUUUCCAUUUGGGAAGCUCCCGAAGCUUUGCCAAACUCACUGCCUGCUGUAAUGUUCUUGGUGCAAAAUUCUUGACCAGUAACAGAAUUUCAUCAUUUAAACCACUGAAGAAUGUUCACAUUUAUGCAAACAAUUCUUCAGGUUUUCACCGGAAAAUUUUGGAAAUUCGAUCCUAGUAAACCUAGGUGGAAUCACAUGUCUACCACUAGAAUCACCCGCCAAUCUAGGGUUCGAUGAAAUACUAUUCUGAGAACUAUCAAUAAAGGAAGCUUGGAGGCUUAACUCUUUCAUCUCCUUAGCUUUCUGAGCUCGAAUUCCUGAACUCUUUACAUAUUUCUCUGAAUUCUCCCUAAUCAAGCUUCACAUUAGUUCUUCAAACUUCUUGAACACAUACAAUUGUAUCUCCAUCUUAGGGUUUUGAAUCCUGAGCUCCAACCCACAGCCAAGAAUCACCAGCACUGAUACUAAUAUUAUGCAAGAUUGGAGAAGAUGAACAGCUAACUCAAUGAAUCAAGGAUAAUUUAGUGAGAAAUCCUCUAGAGGUUCAUCAAUCAAAAAUCAAAUUUCAGAGAGGAAGGAGUAGGAGAGAAGAGACGAAAUUGGGAGAAAAAGGGUUUGAAUUUUCCCUCUGAAUCAAGUUUAAUCAUGGUAUUUAUAACAGCGCAUUCCCUUAAAUAGAAGGUGUGGCUUGUUGUUGUACAUUCAAAUGAUAAUAGAGAAGCUGUGCACCCUCUCUUCUAUUGUCUACACUAGUGACAGAUUGACAAAAGAAUUCAUAGACAUACAGACAUAGAUAAAAAGAACUAUCAAGAUUCAAGAUUCAACCAUGACAAAAUUAGAUAAACAAUUACCAUAGUUUUUCAGUCAAACGAAGUGCCGACUGGAAUUUUAUCAGAACUUAAUCUCAUGGAAGUGACUAAUCCAGUAUCCAGAUUCAGCACAUUCUUAUAAAUUCAUGACAAGGCUUAAACUGUUUGCCUAAAUUCCUGGAUGUGGUAAUUGAUUGCAGUGGUACUAUAUUUUCAUACAAACAGUUUGGUUUAGUCUUGCAUUUUUUUUCUGCUGUUGUAUAAUUACUAUCACCUGAUUUUAUGACAGGAAGACAAGUGUUACUUCUGAUAUAACCCAGUCAAAUCAUGGAAUUGAAUUUAUUCCUUUAAAUGAUUUUUUUGGUCACAAAGUUAGUUUGAGAGUUAUAUCAUAACCUUCAUGAAUGACAGUAAGCUUUGUCAAUCUGGACUUCUUUUUGCAUACAUACCCCUGUAAAAUCUCAUUAUUGUACAUAAUUUUUUGGUUUUUACAUUUUGGAUUUAGAGGGGUGCAGAUGCAAAAGGAUAGCAUUAUUAUUAU